rnacentral:rRNA from 1 species
UACGGAGGGUGCGAGCGUUGUCCGGAAUGACUGGGCGUAAAGGGCGCGUAGGCGGAUGGCACAGUCAGAUGUGAAAUUCCCGGGCUUAACCUGGGGGCUGCAUUUGAUACGUGUUGUCUUGAGUUCGGAAGAGGGUCGUGGAAUUCCCAGUGUAGAGGUGAAAUUCGUAGAUAUUGGGAAGAACACCGGUGGCGAAGGCGGCGACCUGGUCCGACACUGACGCUGAGGCGCGAAAGCGUGGGGAGCAAACAGG